CACGUAGGGUGCGAGCGUUGUCCGGAAUUAUUGGGCGUAAAGAGCUCGUAGGCGGUUUGUCGCGUCUGCUGUGAAAACCCGAGGCUCAACCUCGGGCCUGCAGUGGGUACGGGCAGGCUAGAGUGCGGUAGGGGAGAUUGGAAUUCCUGGUGUAGCGGUGGAAUGCGCAGAUAUCAGGAGGAACACCGAUGGCGAAGGCAGAUCUCUGGGCCGUAACUGACGCUGAGGAGCGAAAGCGUGGGGAGCGAACAGG
rnacentral:rRNA from 1 species